GCUAUGUGCAAUUUUUUUAGUUGAAUUCUUGACUAUAUCAAAUAGAUGAGAAUUGAAAUAACACAUAAAUGAGGUUACUUGAAGGUUUUUGCAUCGCCAAAAAGAAUUAUUUUUUACAAUACUACCCAGUCCCCAAUCCAGAAAAGAAAAAGAGAAAAGCUCUAUAGGCUAUAGCUUUUCAAAUGAUCAUAAAUAACCAGAAUUUUUUUCUGCAUUUGAUAUCCACUGGGACUAUUUCCUUUUCAACAAAAAGCGGUUAUUAGGAUGAUGAAGAAGAAGCUGAUUUUGAUGUCUGGUUGCUGCAGAAUUGGAAGAUAUUCUCACCCAUCUUCUCCACCACAAAAUGAGCAAGCAUGUCAUUAGCUUCCACCAAGUUCUCUCUGCAUAAGAAUUCAUCCCCAUAUACUUUCUCCACAUCUCUGUAAUAAUCAUGCACAAAUAUAUGGGUCUUGCCAUUUCCUCCUUUCUUGCUUCUUGCUAGCACUCCAGCUGUGAAGAUUGGUGUCAUCCUCCCUGGCCCUUCUGGUCCGUCCCCUCGAGGUCCAUCGAUCAAUAUCACAUCCCAAUCCACCUCAUAAACGUGAUUAGGCAAGUCAUUAAUCCCAAGCUUACACUCUGAGAAGAGUAGAUUCUGAACUGGCCUGCAUUCGUUGCGUAUUUGAUCCCUAGUGGAGGCUAUGAGUUCUCUGAAUUCUCCCAUUUUUGUUGUGUAUUGAACAUCAAACACAUCAACUUCAGGGUGUAACUCUUCGAAAUAGGCAGCGUAGUAUCUGUUUUCAUCGAUGAAAACUGUGCGGCCAUUGUGGUUUAGGGCUUUCCAGAGAAGGGUUUCGUGUGUUAGGCCAAAAACGAGAAAGUUACAUGGAGAAGAACACCUUCUAAGGACAUCAGAUAUAGGUUUGAUUUCGGAGUAAGACAUGUGGAAACUGUCAUUGGAUCUUGAGGCAUAGUAGAGGAGAGUAUUGAUGACAGUGGUAGGCAAUGGUGUGGUGGGGGAUAUAGAGGAUGUGGAAGCAGAAGCCAAGGCAGUGGUGGAUUUGGUAGGCAAAGACUCUCUAGUGUAGAUAAGAGUAACAAGAAAGGCAAUAGUGAAGAAAGAGACAAAGGCAAGGAGCCAUAAGCGAUUGGAGCUUCCUUGCUUUUGGAUAUAGGGGUGAAGAAGAAUAAGCCUUGUGUUAUUGUUAUUGCUCUUCAUCUUUUCUUGUGCAAGAGAGGUACUGCAAAACCCUUCUCUUGUUCUUGGAGUUGGUGGCCAAGAUUUAGAAUCUUGAUGGAAAUGAGAGCAGAAGGGAAUGAUUUAAAGAUGAGUUAGCUCGAGAGGCAUAACUCAUAAGGAUAUGCUUUAAAGUAACAGUACAGGAUCAGCAAAUACUAAUAUGACAUUAGUCAUCAUACAUUAAUCAACCAAAUAGCAUUCUAGAGACCUAAUUACAACAAAUUUUGAA
rnacentral:misc_RNA from 1 species